rnacentral:misc_RNA from 1 species
CGCACCUUGCGCCCCUCAGUUCUACUGUGGGGCAUGCCUGUUUGAGUGUCGUGAAAUUCUCAACUCAAAAGCUUUCUGAAAAGAAUUCUUUUUGAGCUUGGAUUUGGAGGUGUUGCCGGACUCUUGAUUAGAGAGGUCGGCUCCUCUUGAAUGCAUGAGUGGGUUUUUCCUAGCAGGCUAAAAACUCAUCCUCGGUGUGAUAAUUGUCUAUGCCGUGGAUGUGCUUGCAAAAGGAAACCGCUUCCAACCGUCGUUUCGACAUUGUUUUUUUGAUCUUGACCUCAAAUCAGGUAGGACUACCCGCUGAACUUAA